rnacentral:rRNA from 1 species
CCUGCUUGAUCUUUCCAGUAGUCAUAUGCUUGUCUCAAAGACUAAACCAUGCAUGUGUAAGUAUGAACAAAUUCAGACUGUGAAACUGUGAAUGGCUCAUUAAAUCAGUUAUAGUUUGUUUGACGGUAUCUAUUACUCGGAUAACCUUAGUAAUUCAAGAGCUAAUACGUGCAACAAACCCCAACUUCUAGAAGGGAUGCAUUUAUUAGAUAAAAGGUCGACGUGGGCUCUGCCCCUUCCUGCAAUGAUUCAUGAUAACUCGACCGAUUGCACGACCAUUAUGCAAGUGACACAUCAUUCAAAUUUUUGUCCUAUCAAGUUUCGAUGGUAGGAUAGUGGCCUACCAUGGUGGUUACGGGUGGUGGAGAAUUAGGGUUCAAUUUUGGAGAGGGAGCCUGAGAAAGGUUUACCACAUCCAAGGAAGGCAGCAGACGCUCAAAUUACCCAAUCCUGACAAGGGGAGAUAGUGAUAAUAAAUAACAAUACCGGGCUCAAUGAGUUUGGUAAUUGGAAUGAGUACAAUCUAAAUCCCUUAACAAGGAUCCAUUGGAGGGAGAGUCUGGUGCCAGCAGCCGCGGUAAUUCCAGCACUAAUUGGAUAUAUUUAAGUUGUUCCAGUUAAAAAGCUCAAAGUUGGACUUUGGGAUUGGCCGGUCAGUCUACCUAUGGUGUGCAUUGGUCAUCUCGUCCCUUCUAUCGGCGAUACGCUCCUGGCCUUAACUGGUCGAGUUGUGCCUCCGGCGCUGUUACUUUGAAGAAAUUAGAGUGCUUAAAGUAAGCCUACGCUCUGUAUACAUUAGCAUAGGAUAACAUUAUAGGAUUUCGGUCCUAUUACGUUGGCCUUCGGGAUCAGAGUAAUGAUUAACAGGGAAAGUCGGGGGCAUUCGUAUUUCAUAGUCAGAGGUGAAAUUAUUUGAUUUAUGAAAUACGGACAACUACGAAAGCAUUUUACAAAGAUGUUUUCAUUAAUCAAGAAUGAAAAUCUGUUUCAUUCUGGGCAAUUUUUCUAAUGUCCCCACGUUAUUUUUAUAUUUUUUUCAAUCUUUUAUUUAAUAUGCUUAAAUUUAAAUAUUAUAUACCAUUACGUUAUACAUACAAAUAUGUACUCGAUUAUUGGUUUAAGGUUAGUUCAUGCGCUGGAAAUAUUUUUCUAAUAUUUUUAUAUUUUUAUAAAUAUUUUUUCUAUUUUUGAAUUAUUUUUACUAACUUUUUGAAUUUUCAUAAAUGAUAUUUGAAAAAAAAAAUAUUCUUAAUGAAUCCGCGGCGAGCGCCGGCGGCCGGCGUAGGCGGCGCCCGUGCAUAAGCCUCGAUGUACCUUCAUCUCCUCUGCUCCCCCUAAUGGAGGGCAAUCGUGUCAAGCGGUACUUGCUUCAGCCUUUUAAUGUCCGCAUGGGCAGCAACGCACGGUAACUAUUAUUGGUCAUUGGGGCCGGUGCUGGGCGUGCAUCAACGGAGCAUUUGGACGCACGAUGCGUGAGUUGUGUUCGGUAUGUGCGGUUAGGUUGGGUCCCUACUCGAGCUACAAUGUCCUGACUCGCCUACCAUCUCAGUCGUGGGGCAAGCACAAUUUAGGUUUGCUCGAAGUUGGUUUCUUGUGCUGCAUACCUAAUGCCCAGGCAUUAUCAAGUUUUAUCGACCGCCUUUCGCCCCUCGCAUUUCAUGUGUUGGGUGAAUGGAAAUGCCGCCCUCGUGUCCCACGCCUUCCUUGCUUUGUCGUGCGGUCAUGGUCCAUGAACGGUGGUCAGGAUUCUCGGAUGCAGUAGACGC